GAAGACGUCGAUUGCGUAGGCGCGUGCGCAGCUCUAGACGCCGCUACACCAGGUGGAUGACUCUCUGAAGAGGUAGUUCCUGUCUACAGCGAACAUGGCCAGACGUGUACAGCGUGGAAUGCGUCAGGUUCCUCCCGGACUACAUCUACCUGCAGUAAGAAGAAGCGACCACGUGACAACACCUGGGUUUUAAAAGAAGCGACCACGUGACAACACCUGGGUUUAAAAAGAGGUAUUGUUCUGUCUCUGUUGUGGCUAUGUAAUAAAUUAUUAUUCACAGCUUUUGGUUUUCUU